rnacentral:tRNA from 1 species
GCAGUGGUGGUUCACUGGUAGAAUUCUCACCUUCCAUGCAGGAGAUCCAGGUUCAAUUCCUGGCCAGUGCC